rnacentral:rRNA from 1 species
GACGAACCGUGCGAACGUUGUUCGGAAUCACUGGGCUUAAAGGGCGCGUAGGCGGGUUCGCAAGUCUGUGGUGAAAGCCUCCAGCUUAACUGGAGAAGUGCCGUGGAUACUGCGAAUCUUGAGGAGGGUAGGGGCGUCUGGAACGGUCGGUGGAGCGGUGAAAUGCGUUGAUAUCGACCGGAACUCCGGUGGCGAAGGCGAGGCGCUGGACCCUUUCUGACGCUAAGGCGCGAAAGCCAGGGGAGCAAACGGG